CUAACAAGGAUUCCCCUAGUAACUGCGAGUGAAGCGGGAAAAGCUCAAAUUUAAAAUCUGGCAGUCUUUGGCUGUCCGAGUUGUAAUCUAGAGAAGUAUUAUCCGCGCUGGACCGUGUACAAGUCUCCUGGAAUGGGGCGUCAUAGAGGGUGAGAAUCCCGUCUUUGACACGGACUGCCAGGGCUUUGUGAUAUGCUCUCAAAGAGUCGAGUUGUUUGGGAAUGCAGCUCAAAAUGGGUGGUAAAUUCCAUCUAAAGCUAAAUAUUGGCGAGAGACCGAUAGCGAACAAGUACCGUGAGGGAAAGAUGAAAAGAACUUUGGAAAGAGAGUUAAACAGUACGUGAAAUUGCUGAAAGGGAAACGCUUGAAGUCAGUCGCGUUGGCCAGGGAUCAACCUUGCUUUUUUGCUUGGCUUACUUUCUGGUUGAUGGGUCAGCAUCAAUUUUGACUGGUGGAAAAAGUUCAAGGGAAUGUGGCAUCUUCGGAUGUGUUAUAGCCUUUGUUCACAUACAUUGGUUGGGAUUGAGGAACUCAGCACGCCGCAAGGCCGGGUUUUUAACCACGUACGUGCUUAGGAUGCUGGCAUAAUGGCUUUAAUCGACCCGUCUUGAAACACGGACCAAGGAGUCUAACAUGCCUGCGAGUAUUUGGGUGAAAAACCCGAGUGCGUAAUGAAAGUGAAAGUUGAGAUCCCUGUCGUGGGGAGCAUUGACGCCCGGAUCUGACCUUUUGUGACGAUUCUGCGGUAGAGCAUGUAUGUUGGGACCCGAAAGAUGGUGAACUAUGCCUGAAUAGGGUGAAGCCAGAGGAAACUCUGGUGGAGGCUCGUAGCGAUUCUGACGUGCAAAUCGAUCGUCAAAUUUGGGUAUAGGGGCGAAA
rnacentral:rRNA from 1 species